AUUAAUUUUCUUUUGAAUCUGAGUGUGGACGCAUGUUCAGAUAUUUCUUUGUUUGAAAGACUUCAAGUUUUUGUUGGGAGUGGCCAAUCCCUGCAUUAAUUUGUGGUCUAGUUUCUUCUGUUGUUAGAUUCUAAUUUUUUUUUAUUAUUUCAAUGGUUACUCAGCUAUUGAGUAGGUUCCACCUCUGAUCUUCAUUGAAUUUGUAAUCAAGAGUUUUUAUUUGAUUUUUAUUUGAUGUUGAGUAUUGAAUUAAUAAUUUUACAAAUAGAUGAUUUAUUUCUUGGAAUAAUUCAACUCUAAGAGUGAAUAUUUCUCAACUCAAAUUCUUAUGAAGCAUUCUUCUCUGAUAAAUUCUAUAUAUAUGUUAAUUCAACUUAAAAAUUAUCUUAGCUAGCUCAAAUUUUUUUUUUUUUGAAUGUAGCUUUCACACACUUGAGUGGAGGGAGUAUGUAACAAUUUUGGACAUGAUUAUUUUUAUCUUGUUUUUCUGUUAUUUCGGUUCUAAAUUCGAUUGUAUUAUCAGCUUGUUUUUCUCAGUGAGACAAAGAUGCACUUAUGGGAUCGAGCUGUACCCUUCGAAUAAUCUACUUUCUUGUUCUCUCCAGUUCUUUUUUGCUAUUUUCUUUCUCCCUUUUUCUGUCCUUGUUGGUAGCUUUGAGUUUGCAUUGCUCUUUCUCUCUAGUUUCUUUGUCUAAUUUUGAUAAUUCCGUUUUGCUUACGUCACUGUCUUGUUUGCUACCCCGUCUUCAACGCUCGAUGAUCCAUUCUGUCUCUGAAUUUCGUGAGUGGAGGUUGUAAAUUUAACCUUUUCCUUUGAUUCCAUUUUUAUUUAGCUUAUGCUAAAUUUUUCUAUUUAUUACAAUAUGUAGUUGAUCAGAGACAGAUUUCAUUCAUCACAAGUUGUGAUAUUUUUAUUAUUUUCUUUAUUUUUUUUUUAUUUCCUUUUUGAAUAUGUAAAUUUUCUUGUUUGUUAUAAAAAAAAAAAAAAAGAAAAGUAAUCAUGUCCGAAAAUUUAAUUGAGUAUUCAUUCUAGCUGGCCUAAGUUAUGGCAAUUUAUUUAUAUUUGUUGAAAACCUCAUUCAUCACAUAUGUAUCCAUAGUAAUUUCUACAAUUUCCGCUGUACAGCGGUCAUAGACUCAUAGACUCGUAGACUCGUAGACUCGUAGUAUCACAGGAUGUCUUAGUUAUGGCCAUGGAAGCUGAAUCCUUGCUGACCAACUCAUCACAAGGAAACCAAUAUUUCCAGAAAAGAUCUAAAUUCGCCGUAAAAAGGAUACUUCAAGAACUUCUUGUGCAGUGAAAAAUUAAUAAGUGAAAAAUUUGAAUAAAGUGUACGGAGGCCUCCUCACUUCAAUACACCAGGUAUUUACGAAACAACCAAUAUUAAUUUAUGGAAAAUUCACAGGCAACUACUUCG